AAAAAAUGGAACCUCACAGAAAAAUCUCACCUGAGAAUUCCCGAGAAGAUUAUAGUGUGUCGGAUAGUCGUGUGUGUGUGUGUGUGUGUGCACGCGCAACCGACUCUUAUCAAUCGUGUAUGAGGACACGGCGUUUUUCUCGCUGGGAGUCCUUGGAAGAGAGAGGCGUAUAAGGCGCGCACGGUGAUGCUGCAACGUCAAUAGCUUCUCCGUUUCGUAAAACUCCGUUACCGAUAAGUGUCGAGCGCGCGAUUAGAUCGCUCUUGUUUGCUUCUCUGAGUCCUCGCCCAUGUUUGUACGAUGAUGUCAUCGGUUGGUCCAUCCGGUGCGGAUUAGGUCAAAGUCUCGCGCUCCCGAUAAAAAUCAUGUCCGCAGCCAGCGAUCGUUUUCGUCUGGCCGGAUCGAUUUAUAUCUCAGCUAACACGGCAGAAACAACGCCGAUAGCGCAGGUAAUUAGUCGCGGUGGUCCAUGUGGUCCAGAUUAGAUUACGGUCGCAAUCGUGCCAUCUAGCAACGCGGCUUUUGAUCGACUUGCGCAAACGUCGCGCGAGAGAAAUACCAUUAACGGCCUAUUUUUUUCGACAUUAGUUGCUCAAUGAUGCACCUGCGGAGAAGCUGUCCAUCGUCUGAACAUGUUGUUUACGAUGAUAGAGCUUUGUCCUUCGUAUGAUACGUGUGAAGCAUCAUUUCAUGAAGGAUGUAAAUUUCUAAUUAUGUCUGGAAUUAAUUAUUUUGCAAAUACUACCUGUUGCAUCUGUUGCGAACUUGUUGAAAAUACGUGAGAUCAUAACGUGAUAAAAGAUGGAUAAAAGUGAAGAAAUAUAGCUGGAUAUCAACUUGGACAAAAUUGCGUCUUAUGCGAGAGCUGGGAAGUAUCCUCAUAUCUCACUUCGAGAUAAUGCUGUAUCUCACUAUCUCGCGAUCGCUCGAAAGGGAUAGUCACAUUCUUCCUAUCAGAGAUUCGAUGAAUUAGAUUAAAUCACGGUACUUUCCGUAAGUCACGAGUUAAAUUUUUCAACUGCGUAUUUGGAUUGUGUACAGUCAAUUGUUGCUAGCAUGAUAUUUAUAGGUACUUAAUUUUUUAAAAUUUUCAUUGUAUUAUAAUCUUCUCAAAUUUCUUAUCGACAAAUUUAUGUUUAAAAGAUCAAUUUGGCACAUUAUAAAAUGUUUUACACAAGUAAUAAAAGUACGAGGGACGAAAAGGGAGAGUCGGAGAGAGGAAGAAGGGAGGGAAAGAAACCCUCUUACGAAAUCUUCGCGUUGUCACGUCGUUAUAGAAAUUUCAAGUUUACCUUCACGGACCGGAAAAGCAACACCAUCGCGGCGCAGAUGGCGUGAAAACAACAGCGAGAUGACGGUUCACACAUGAUACGCAUCCGUAUGUAGACCUCUCUCUCGAGUCUCCUGAAAAAUUCGAUCAAGCAGAUGCUACCGGUCAGGAAAGAGAGAGACAUCAACUUUUAUUCAGCUUUUUUUCCUUGCUCAGCGCGAGACACUUCGGCAUGAGAGACCCAUUUACAGUCGUCGCAUAUCUGAGAAAAGUCAUGAUGGUAGUGUUAGUGGUAGUGAUGUUACAUACAGGUUUGCGCGCUCAUGUAGAUACGCGUGGAUAAAGGUGUACGAGGAAAGGAAGCUACGAAAGUUGCAUACGAAAGGGACUCGACUAAUCCACGUGGACGGUCGCAAGCGUAUCAGUUCGCUUCGAAUGUAGGUCAUCCGUUAGAAUAUGACCGGCAAUUGGAAGUACUGUUUUAAAGACUACUGCGACAGCGCAGGCAACAAUAGAGGCAUCGUCUUACUGGGAUAUUAAGAUUUAUCCUCUAUCUUCAUUGGUACAUAUUAAUCAAGUGUCAGAAAGGAGCGAGCUAUACCCUAGCGUGCGACUAUGAGUAAUAAUCAAAAUUAAAUCGAAAUUAAAUGCAAGUUAGUUUAGUCAACUUAAAGCAGCAUAAUUUUUCAAAAUUAUUAAUAAUACAUAAAUUUACAUAUCUGCGUCAAUGAUAAGAAUAGUUAUGCUCAUGAAUCAGGAAUACAGAUUUAUAACUUCUAUAUAAUGGAAUUAUAUAUAUUUUUUAUAUAUUAAUUAUCCAGUAAAAUAAAAAUAUUUUAAAAAUGCAUCAAUAUCAUAUUAAUUUUUUUACACUUCUGUACAGAUGAGAAUUUUACAGACUCUCUUGCAAGUGCAUUUCGUGCUUACAAUAUUAUCUAUAAGUGUUCUUGCGAAAUGAUGAGUCUUGUCAUAAGAACCAAACACUGAUGUCACGCAGGAUCAACAUUUGAAAGAUUGCAUAAAGGUGAUGCAUCUAUUAUACACCCUAAUUACAGCAAGUCGAUCGUUUUUAUACGGCAAUUUCUUACGCAUAGUUCAUUAUCGAAUUAAUCCAGGUUUGUAAGAUAACCGAUCACGGAGCGAAUCGACUUUGUGUACGUCUCGUGUACGUGCAUGCGAUCCUACCAAUGCGUAACAGAUGUCUAUCCGACUUGUGUAAAUAUAAAGUACCUGCCCAGCUUA